GCACCCGUAGCUCAACUGGAUAGAGCAUCGGUCUUCGGAACCGAAUGUUGGGGGUUCGAAUCCCUCCGGGUGUACUA
rnacentral:tRNA from 1 species